rnacentral:rRNA from 1 species
GACGAACGCUGGCGGCGUGCUUAACACAUGCAAGUCGAGCGAGGGGCUUCGGCUCCUAGCGGCGAACGGGUGAGUAACACGUGGGCAACCUGCCCCGAGCUCUGGAAUAACCUCGGGAAACCGGGGCUAAUGCCGGAUAUGACACUGCUGGGCAUCUGGUGGUGUGGAAAGAUUUAUCGGCUCGGGAUGGGCCCGCGGCCUAUCAGCUUGUUGGUGGGGUGAUGGCCUACCAAGGCGACGACGGGUAGCCGGCCUGAGAGGGCGACCGGCCACACUGGGACUGAGACACGGCCCAGACUCCUACGGGAGGCAGCAGUGGGGAAUAUUGCGCAAUGGGCGAAAGCCUGACGCAGCGACGCCGCGUGGGGGAUGACGGCC